CAAAGGUUUGGUCCUGGCCUUACUAACAGCUCUAACCAAAUUUACACAUGCAAGUAUCCGCACUCCCGUGAGAAUGCCCUAACAGUCCCCUGAAUGAGGACAAGGAGCCGGUAUCAGGCACAUAUAUUUAUAGCCCAUAACACCUUGCUCAGCCACACCCCCAAGGGAAAUUCAGCAGUGAUAAACAUUAAGCAAUAAGUGAAAGCUUGACUUAGUUAUGGUUAAGAGGGCCGGUAAAAUUCGUGCCAGCCACCGCGGUUAUACGAAUAGGCCCAAGUUGUUAGACAUCGGCGUAAAGCGUGGUUAGGUAAUUAAAUAUCCAGUAAAGCCGAACGCCUUCUAGGCUGUCAUACGUGUAUUUGCGAAGGUGAGAAGCCCAAUUACGAAAGUAGCUUUAUAAUAACUGACUCCACGAAAGCCAGGAAACAAACUGGGAUUAGAUACCCCACUAUGCCUGGUCCUAAAAAUAGAUAACACAGUACAUCUGUUAUCCGCCGGGGUACUACGAGCACUAGCUUAAAACUCAAAGGACUUGGCGGUGCUUUAGAUCCACCUAGAGGAGCCUGUCCUAGAACCGAUAAUCCCCGUUCAACCUCACCCCUUCUUGCACUUAUAUCAGCCUAUAUACCACCGUCGUAAGUUUACUCUGUGAAGAGCCCGUAGUAAGCGAAAUUGGCACAGCCCAAGACGUCAGGUCGAGGUGUAGCUUACGAAGGGGGCUGGAGAUGGGCUACAUUCUCUAUUUCAGAGAAUACGGAUGGUGUAAUGAAACUUACACACAGAAGGAGGAUUUAGAAGUAAGCGGAAAAUAGAGUGUUCCGCUGAACCCGGCUCUGAAGCGCGCACAUACCGCCCGUCACUCUCUCCAAGCCCCUACCCCAUCUUAUUAUCUAAAAAGCUAAAUAAUGCUGAGGAGAGACAAGUCGUAACAUGGUAAGCGUACCGGAAGGUGCGCUUGGAAUAAU
rnacentral:ncRNA from 1 species